UUAUGCACACAAAACACCUACUAUUUAAUUUAAUGCAUAUGAGUCAUUUAUUAUCAAAGAACUUAGGAAUUUGUUAAUAAGGCAAUCUUGGUCAAUUAUUUAGAGAAUAUAAAAUAACUUUGGACAAGCGGAGCCCGUGCGCGCACACAAACGCUCGCUCACGUCUGUGUUUACUUCCUCAGCGAAUGUUCUCAGAGGACAAUGGGAAGAAGAUACCACACUGAGGUAAUCCUUUCCCAGCUGGGGAACACAGAGUCGAUCCUGUGCUCGUCUGUGGAAGCAACAGCCACAAUAAGCUUCAAGACGCCAGCCAGUUACCUAGCAACCACACUUCACUUCCAUGGCAAUGCUAUUAAAAGCAACUACAAGGAAAAUAUUGGGAAGAUGGUGGACAUGACAGCACUGAAGGACCGUGUCAAAACAAUUGCAUGUGUAAAACUUACAUAUGUAUUGAUGUCUUUAGUAAAUCAUGACACAUCCAUCUACAUAUCUACACUUCAUGUUCAUGUUAUUUCUGAGGUGGAAUACAAAAUACACCAAAACUGAUCAAUCAGGAGUCAGGACAUUGAUGAUGAUACGUUGGGUUAAAUUAACAAAAUGUUUAUAGUUGAGCCAACUAUUGAUUAAUAUUUUUUUAAAAUUGCAUUCAUGAUGUUAAAUUAUUGUGUCAGUGAUGUCUUAUGUAAAUUAGAUUUUAUCUUUUUCCCCAUCAUUUUAUUUCAAUUUCUUUGAAAAUUGAUUAUUGCAUUGAUUAGAUUUUGCAUUAAAACACAGGCAAAAGUACUCUUACAGUUCCUCUUUUAACUUUUAUUUGUAUACUUCAAAUACCAAUCAAUAGUGCAUUCCUGGACUUGCAGGUAAAUGUAACCAGUCUACAGAUCUCCUGAAGUCUGGUGGAAGUAAGAACUUCCCAAGGAGGCAAUAAAUGAUUGCAUUAAUGCAUUAACAUUACUGUAACCAGAACAGCCAUAGGGCCCAAGUCUCUCUCUUUCUUUUUCUCUCUCUCUCUCUCCAGAACAGUCAAGAAAAAGAAACCAGUGGAUUUUCUUUCAGGUCACUAGAAUGCCCUCACCCCUUCCUCCUCUUCAGGGAAUUCCUAUUGUCAUUGUUUCAACCAUCCUAGAUGACCUUUUACUACGGGGGUCAAAGGGCAUACCCUGAAUCCUUGGUUUGGCAACCAGACAAAAAACAAAGCUAAGACAUCACAGAUAAGCCAAGAUACAAGAAAAAAACUGAACAUAUACACAGUUACAAAGCUGCCCCUCACAACUUUUAUAUAUUUUCCAUAAAUCUCUUUUAUUUAUCCUUCUCAGUUUGCUCUCUGACAUAUCCAUAAAAACAUUUUAAUAAAAGUAAAGCUCUCGACAACCAUUUUAAUGUCUGCACAAGUCUACUUUGACAUUCAACAAACACAUACCUCAAGUGACAUCCAAGAAAAGGAAAGUACAGUUAAGUUUAUUUGCUUGUCCAUGAACCAGUUUGUGCUUUUGUUGUUGUCUGUUGACAACAGUCUGAUUUGAUGUUUCUGCAUCAGUGCAGAAAGAGAUCCAGCACAUGGGGACAUAUGGAGCACAGCUGAAAGAUGAUGACAGAGAUUCCAUACAGGACAUCAG